UCGGAUAUUCUUUCUCUCUCUUCUUCCAUUCUCUCUCUCCUCCUGUAAAUCCUCCCUACUGUGUAUCUUCAUCUUUUGAACUUCGUUGAUUCUCUUUGUUCUUGCAAAUCCCUUCACCUUAUUUCUAUCCUCUUCCAAUUCUUCAGCUGGCCUUCCCAGUUAGUGAAGUUACAGAUGGCGCAAGUCAAGGGCAUAGUGACUUGUGGAUGACUUGAUUCCAGCUGAGAGAUAGCAACAUUGUUUAGUAAAAUCUCCAGAAGCAAAUUGAUUGAUUGUGGUUUGCCUCACACACCUAAGUAAGGACUGC